rnacentral:lncRNA from 1 species
AGUAGCAUAUAUGUUUGAAUUUAUGUUUGAAUAUAGAUUGGAUUGGAUUAAAUGAAUAAAAUACAAAAAUACAAAGAACUAAAAUAAAUUAUUUCUGAAAAAUGUAAAGAAUUAAAAAUAAGAAUAGAAAGACUAUAUUAUAAUAUAUUUUCCGGAGUUAGUGAAAACUCAAUAAAUACACAAAAAGAUGAAAUAUCAAAAUUAGAAUCACAAAUAGAUAGUUUAGAAUAUAUAU